UUGGAGGGCAAGUCUGGUGCCAGCAGCCGCGGUAAUUCCAGCUCCAAUAGCGUAUAUCAAAGUUGUUGCAGUUAAAAAGCUCGUAGUUGAAUUUCGGGGUUAGUAGGUUGGUCAUGCCUCUGGUAUGUACUGGUCUCACUGAUUCCUCCUUCCUGAUGAACCGUAAUGCCAUUAAUUUGGUGCUUUGGGGAAUUUGGACUGUUACUUUGAAAAAAUUAGAGUGCUUAAAGCAAGCUAACGCUUGAAUACAUCAGCAUGGAAUAAUGAAAUGGGACGUUCGAUCCUAUUUUGUUGGUUUCUAGGAUUGACGUAAUGAUUAAUAGGGAUAGUUGGGGGCAUUAGUAUUCAAUUGUCAGAGGUGAAAUUCUUGGAUUUAUUGAGGACUAACUACUGCGAAAGCAUUUGCCAAGGAUGUUUUCAUUAAUCAAGAACGAAAGUUAGGGGAUCGAAGACGAUCAGAUACCGUCGUAGUCUUAACCAUAAACUAUGCCGACUAGGGAUCGGAUGAUGUUAAUUUUUUAAUGACUCAUUCGGCGCCUUACGGGAAAC
rnacentral:rRNA from 1 species